rnacentral:misc_RNA from 1 species
GAAGGCUAUUAAAUCAAACCAGCACACAUAUCCAAAGUUUAAAAACACAGAGAUUCUCCAAAAAUCAGAAGAGGAGAAAUGGAAUCCGAUCGGAGGCGAGACGAAGAAGACAACGAAAGACCUUUUUAUUUUUUUCCUGUAACCAUGUCUCUGUAACGCAAUAGAGAUUCCAGCCUCUGUAAUCUCAGCUGCUGUUUGAACUUGUUUAUGAAAUCAUCGGCUCUUAAAUCUACCUCCUCUUCCUCCUUCUCGCCGCCUUCUUUCGUUUCUGGUUCCCUAAUCUCCGCUCUCGCCGUUUCCGGACGAUGCCGUUCGAUUUCCUUCACUAAUUCCCCUGUUUCGCCCUGCGCCGCCGUGAACGACACCCACGGCAGCUUCUCACUAAGGGAUUUC